rnacentral:rRNA from 1 species
UCUCCUACGGGGGGCUGCAGUGGGGAAUUUUGGACAAUGGGGGCAACCCUGAUCCAGCCAUGCCGCGUGAGUGAAGAAGGCCUUCGGGUUGUAAAGCUCUUUCGGCCGGGAAGAAAUCGUGCGGGCUAAUACCCUGUAUGGAUGACGGUACCGGAAGAAGAAGCACCGGCUAACUACGUGCCAGCAGCCGCGGUAAUACGUAGGGUGCGAGCGUUAAUCGGAAUUACUGGGCGUAAAGCGUGCGCAGGCGGUUUCGUAAGACAGAUGUGAAAUCCCCGGGCUUAACCUGGGAACUGCGUUUGUGACUGCGAGACUUGAGUGCGGCAGAGGGGGGUGGAAUUCCACGUGUAGCAGUGAAAUGCGUAGAGAUGUGGAGGAACACCGAUGGCGAAGGCAGCCCCCUGGGUCGACACUGACGCUCAUGCACGAAAGCGUGGGGAGCAAACAGGAUUAGAUACCCCGGUAGUC